AGAACGAACGCUGGCGGCGUGCCUAACACAUGCAAGUCCAACGUGAAAGGGGGAGCAAUCCCCCGGUAGGGUGGCAAACGGGUGAGUAAUACAUGGGUGAUCUACCUUAGGGAUGGGGAUAUCCUUCCGAAAGGAGGGGCAAUACCGAAUAUUGUCCGGAGCCGUGAAGGGUUCCGGGGAAAGGGAGGCCUCUGAUACAAGCUUUCGCCUUAAGAUGAGCCCAUGGCCCAUCAGCUAGUUGGUAGGGUAACGGCCUACCAAGGCGAAGACGGGUAGCUGGUCUGAGAGGACGAUCAGCCACACUGGCACUGAGACACGGGCCAGACUCCUAUGGGAGGCAGC
rnacentral:rRNA from 1 species